CGUAAGAGAAGAUUUUCUGUCGAAAACAACUAAUGUCAACAAUCAGCAUGGAACUGGGAUAUUCGUAUCAAAGGGCUAUUCAUGCAGGAAAAUGACUGAAUAUUACUAUUAUAUGAAGAAUUCCAGCCUGCAUUAAAUACUUUGUUGGAUCAUUGAGACCGAUUUGACAUCCAUGUCUAUCCACAAGGCAGUCACAUCUGAUAGAGAUGAUCACUAAACAUUCUAGAUGGGUAAAGAACCUGAAGGGGCAUGAAAACCAAAUCAGCAUUGACUCAGCAUUGAGUAAUUAUCAUCUGUGCACACACUACAAGUACAAACGCAUGGGAA